rnacentral:misc_RNA from 1 species
UUUCCGUAGGUGAACCAGCGGAAGGAUCAUUGCCACACACGAUCCAAGAUCGCCACUUUUUGUGCACUGUUACAGUUUCUUUUACUGCUUGUCCUCGUUGGUGUACAAGUCUUCAGGAAAGUCAGUAAUAACCAUAUUCAACACCCCUUCCUAAACAUGAAUUAUAAACUGGAACAUUUUAAUUAAAUGUCUUUAUCGCCUAUAACUCUAGAUUAUUAAUUGUAAAACAACUUUUAACAAUGCAUAACUAGAUUCUUGCAUCGAUAAAGAACGCACCAG